rnacentral:rRNA from 1 species
CAGUCGCCGCGGGAAUACGAAGGGUGCAAGCGUUAAUCGGAAUUACUGGGCGUAAAGCGUGCGUAGGCGGUGAGUUAAGUCUGUUGUGAAAGCCCCGGGCUCAACCUGGGAAUGGCAAUGGAUACUGGCGAGCUAGAGUGUGUCAGAGGAUGGUGGAAUUCCCGGUGUAGCGGUGAAAUGCGUAGAGAUCGGGAGGAACAUCAGUGGCGAAGGCGGCCAUCUGGGACAACACUGACGCUGAGGCACGAAAGCGUGGGGAGCAAACAGGAUUAGAUACCCCUGUAGUCCCUGUCUCUUAUAC